UGCUGUAUUUACAGUUACUAAACUAAGAU
rnacentral:piRNA from 1 species